rnacentral:rRNA from 1 species
UUGGAGGGCAAGUCUGGUGCCAGCAGCCGCGGUAAUUCCAGCUCCAAUAGCGUAUAUUAAAGUUGUUGCAGUUAAAAAGCUCGUAGUUGAAUUUCGGGGUUAGUAGGUUGGUCAUGCCACUGGUAUGUACUGGUCUCACUGAUUCCUCCUUCCUGAUGAGCCGUAAUGCCAUUAAUUUGGUGUUGCGAGGAAUCUGGACUGUUACUUUGAAAAAAUUAGAGUGUUUAAAGCAAGCUAACGCUUGAAUACAUUAGCAUGGAAUAAUGAAAUAGGACGUUCGAUCCUAUUUUGUUGGUUUCUAGGAUUGACGUAAUGAUUAAUAGGGAUAGUUGGGGGCAUUAGUAUUCAAUUGUCAGAGGCGAAAUUCUUGGAUUUAUUGAAGACUAACUACUGCGAAAGCAUUUGCCAAGGAUGUUUUCAUUAAUCAAGAACGAAAGUUAGGGGAUCGAAGACGAUCAGAUACCGUCGUAGUCUUAACCAUAAACUAUGCCGACUAGGGAUCGGAUGAUGUUAUUUUUAAUGACUCAUUCGGCGCCUUACGGGAAACYAAAGUGUUUGGGUUC